GUCUACGGCCAUACCUAGGCGAAAACACCAGUUCCCGUCCGAUCACUGCAGUUAAGCGUCUGAGGGCCUCGUUAGUACUAUGCUUGGAGACAACAUGGGAAUCCGGGGUGCUGUAGGCU
rnacentral:rRNA from 1 species